AAGUCGUAACAAGGUUUCCGUAGGUGAACCUGCGGAAGGAUCAUUACCAUAUCCAAAUCCCAACCCCAUGUGAACUGUUGUUUGUCUGUCUUUGGGGGCUGGCCGCCUGGGCUCUAACAAAGCCCAUUCUGGUUGCCCCCAAAUGAACCCGGCGCUCCGGUGCUUGGGUUCAGCAGCUAAACCACUUUUAAACUUUGUUGGAAUAUCUUUUAUUAAUUUCUAAUAAAAGACAACUUUUAACGGUGGAUCUCUUGGCUCGU
rnacentral:misc_RNA from 1 species